rnacentral:misc_RNA from 1 species
CCCACAACCAAAACUGCAGCAUCCCGGCUAGUACGAGUAUGUUUGGGGAUCCUUGUGCUGGUACGCAUAAGUAUCUCGAAGCACAUUACCAGUGUUUACCAGCCACCACUACAACUACAACGAGUCGACCUAGUCCACCAUGGCUUAUAACGUCCCAGCCACCUAUGUGGAGCACCAUCAAAGCGCCAUCUAGUAGACCUACUCAUCCGACACCUCCUCCAAAGCCAGCAGUUAUUUCGCUGCCUCAAACACCAGGUCCAUCCACUUCAAGAACGAAAUCUACAUCAACGACACGUUAUUUUUCAGUGACGCCACCGCCACAGUUGCCUGUACAGCCACACAAUACAGGAGAGUUUGACGAGGAUGCAAAACUGUAUCCCAUUCCAGAUGAAAUUACUACACUUCCAUUUACCACAGUCACUCCUAUUGGGGUUGAAUCCAACAAACCUACAUACGAUGUCAUGUAUACGUCAGUACCCAGCAUACUUCCGUCCUGGGGCAAGGAUUCUGAGGGCAUACCGUAUCAUUGCAGCCCCCAAACGGUCCGUAGCAUAUACUGGAAUUGGACAAAAGUUAACGCCACGUCAAUCCAGCCAUGUCCAGGAGGGACUACAGGAUUCGCCAAAUGGCACUGCCAGGCAUUUCCAAAUUCCAAAGAACCGCAGUGGUACCCGCCGAAUCCAGACCUUAGCGAAUGCAGGUCUGUUUGGUUAACCAGUCUAGAACAAAGGAUUAUUGUUGGUAGAGACCCUUUGCUGUCGAUUACCAAUGACUUAGCUCAAGUAACUAGCAGUAAAACACUAUUUGGUGGUGAUAUGAUGUUCACAACGAAGAUCAUCCAAAAAUUAACCGAAAAAAUGAGCAAAGAUAUUCAAACAUUCCCUGAUGCUGCACAAAGAGAACAGUUCGUCACAGAAUUACUUUCAGACGUAGCCUUAACAGGCAGUAACUUGUUAGAUGCUUCUCAACGCUCAUCUUGGAAAGAUCUGAGUUAUAAAGAACAAAUGAAUGUUGCUACUUCAUUGCUCAUUGAGCUAGAAGAAAAUGCUUUUCUUCUUGCUGAAACUGUGAAUAAUAAAAAGACUGUAGACCGACAUUUCAAGAAUAUUCUGUUGUCCGUUCGAGUUCUAGACGUAAAGUCUUUAUCUUAUGAAGUAUUCCCCGAAGGAGCAACAAAGAAGCACUGGAAAGUGAGCAAUGACGUUAUAGAAUUACCUAGAGGAGCUUUAAUAGAAAAUAGCGAUGGUUCUUUAGUUAGACUAGUCUUCGUAGCAUUUGAUCGGCUAGAGGAAAUCUUGCAAUGGCAGCCAGAAGGGAUCGACACCCCAAAUCCUAGCAACAAUGUGUCCAAAGUACUUAAUAGCAAAGUGAUAUCAGCAAGUUUGGGCAAAGGUAGACAUAUCCAGCUAAAAGAACCCGUGAAGCUUACUCUGCAGCAUUUAAAAAUUGAAAACGUCAGCAAUCCGACGUGUGUGUUUUGGGAUUAUACCACCAACGCUUGGUCGGAAGAGGGGUGCUAUGUGGACUAUAUAUCCUCAAAUUUAACUCAUACUACGUGUUACUGUGAUCAUUUAACUAAUUUUGCUAUACUUAUGGACGUUCAUGCGAUUUAUCUACCAAUGGCGCAUGAAAUAGCUCUACAAGUUAUUACAUAUGUUGGUUGUAUAAUAUCCAUCAUCUGUUUAGUGUUGGCAAUCAUUACUUUCCAGUUAUUUAGAGGACUCAAGAGUGAUCGUACGACAAUCCAUUGUAAUUUAUGUAUAUGCCUUUUAAUAGCCGAAGUGAUAUUUUUGUUCGGAAUUAGUCAGACUGAGAAUAGGAUUGUAUGUGGAGUGAUUGCUGGAUUCCUGCAAUACUUCUUUUUAUGCGCUUUCUUCUGGAUGUUCUUCGAAGGUUUUCAACUGUAUGUUAUGCUUAUAGAAGUUUUCGAAGUUGAGAAAUCUAGGAUGCGCUGGUAUUAUUGUAUAGCUUAUGGUCUUCCUUUUGUCAUAAUAUUUAUUUCCGCUGUAAUAUAUCCUCAGGGAUAUGGAACUUACAGGCAUUGUUGGUUGCAGACUGACAACUACUUCAUAUUUAGUUUCGUUGUACCGGUAGCAGUUAUCAUAUCGUUAAAUGUAAUAUUCCUAAUAAUGGCCAUAGUAAUGAUGUGUAAACACUCCAGUAACACAGUUUCCAUGAAAAACAAGGAGCAUUCCCGACUUGCAAGCACCAGUGGAAAGGAGGAAAAUGCACUUCAUAUCAAAAUAAAAGCUCAUUUCGCUUGGCUGAAAGGAGCAUUCAUCUUAGUUUUUCUUCUUGGUUUGACCUGGACCUUCGGAUUCUUAUACCUGAACAAGGAGUCAGUAGCCAUGGCGUACAUCUUCGCAAUAUUAAAUUCGUUGCAAGGAUUCUUUAUUUUCUUAUUUCAUUGUAUACAGAACGAGAAGGUGCGGAAGGAAUAUCGCAAAAUAAUAAGAAGACACUCCUGGUUACCGCAAUGUCUUCGUUGCUCUAGCCCGAGUGGAGGAUCGGGAAGCACCAGCGGCAGCUCCGGGAUGGCGAAAGAACGGCGAACCAGCCUGUACGGUGGUUCUAACGGGAACCCUUCGGCUGGUACCAACUCCCAUUCCACUGACAACUCUGUUCUUACACAACACGGAACUAGUGUGGGUACCAGUGUAGUCAAUAACCUUAAUAAUGCGCGUCCUACUGCACUAGUCCAGAUUGUCCCUAGAACUGAUCUCAACAAUGCUAGUACCACCACGACGAGCCAUAAGAGGCUGCAUAAUGUCUCGCAACAAGUUGCACCGCGAUUGGAACUCCCGAAGUUGCACGAACGUAAAUCGGGUAUGCAAGACACCUGUACCCACGUCUACUUCGGCCAACAUGGCUGCUACUCUGUCUCGGCCGAUCAGAACAACACCUACAAACCUUAUUCCGGAUAUUGACUCUAACAACACUUCCACUUUACCUUACUUCCGUAAUUUCUAUAAAAUCUCAUCUAACAAUCCCAACAUACCUAAAUCAAUUUCCACUUGGGGUCCUCUACACAAACCUUUACACUCUAAGAACAUUUCUUUUAAAUCAUGCAGUCGUGAUUCCGGACACGGAGGCUCAGAGCAAGAGGAUUCACCUAGGUCUCACAUGGUACUAGUAGGCAAUGCUGUCGACCCAGGACCUGGACAUCUAAUUACAUUAAAUACCAAAGACAUUCGCCAUCAGAUGCUACAAGAACAACCGACCGAUCUCGCUGACUUUGACAUAUGUUUGGAGCCAAAUAUCCAUCCCAAACAUCUAGCCCUACCUCAGAACUUUCACAA